UUCCCUUCCUUUCUGGUAAUUUAACACUAUUUCCAUUCUUCUCUCUUUAGCUUUAUAUCUCUAUUUCUAUUUCUGCAAUUGCUAUGGCUAAUUCUUUUACAACAUACCUAUUUCAUUUCAUUCCGCAAAAUAAGUUGCUUGCAAUUUAUGUACCACGAAUGCUUCUGAGGUAAAUAUUUCUGCUAUGGAAUUCUUCCUUGAUUCGAAUGAACAAGUUGUUACAAUCGGAAAUGGACAACAAUGACGAAGACGAAAGAAACUUCAUCAAAAUAAAGAUAAAGGACUCGCACAAUUGCAAAACUAAGAACUGAGAGUGAGAACUAGGAUCUGGGAACACCUCUCUGACUCUCACACGAUCGUCCUCGUCCCUCACCUCUGUCCAGCCAUUGCGUUGUGCCGCUGCCGUCGUUCAUUCGAACAACCACCUAAUCGCGCAGCAGCCGUCGUUCCUUCGCCAAGCCACCUCCGUCUUCGAACAGCCACCUCCAUCGCAAAGCAGCCAUCGUCCAUUCGAAGGUGCUCCACCACUGCUUGGUCACUUGGCGUCGUUGUCUCCCACACUCCCUAUUGCAUGUUCUAUUGAAACCUUGAAGGCGCCUUCGAGCUUCCAGAGUUCCAGGUAUGGAUGAAAAUCUGCAGCAAGUUAUGAAGGAUUUUGAUGAUUGAUGACGAACUUGGAUCAUUUUGAUGUUGCCACGUUAUGUUUGAUUGGUUGUUUUGUUUUUUGACUUUUGAAUUUGUAUUUGAAUGAGAUUAUAACAUUCUGGUUUAUGUAGUACUUUUAAUUUGAAUGAUAUUUAAAGUUUACAUUAGACUAUAAUUAUAUUUUCAUGUGUUUAUUUAUAUUUUAUUUAUUAUUUUAUUAUAAAACGGUUUUUCGGUUCAACCACAGUCGAACCGAUUGAACCUAUAAACCAAUGAACCAGUAGCUAGAGCGGUUUGAUGACCGGUUCGAUUUUCAGAACCUUGGUUCCAACCACACUCCAAGAGUUUUAGUUUAAAUUCAUAACCUCAGGAAUAACUAAUCGAUUUGGACAGUACUCCUUUUACGUUCUGAGGUCAAGACAGAACUUCUCUGAUCAGCCUAGCACAUCAAGACAUCUCCGAACUUCAAAACAAAAGUCUUGAUGAAGAUCUGAAUUCUGAAGAUGUUAGAGUAUAUGCCUUACGACCUAACCUAUUCAGAAUUGAUGCAGGGAUACCCAACGACACUGAAAGUCCAAAUGCACACCUAUAUGACCUAUAUCUGCAAGAUGUCCAAGAUCCUAAUGAGGAGAAUACCGAAGACCCAAUUACCUACUUACAGGACCCAAAUAUGAAUUUUAGAACUGUCAACUUGGCUUAUGAUGACACAUCAUCCUACUCAGACGGUGAUGGGACCCUUCCAAAAGACUAUUUUAAGUCGUUCGUCUAUUAAAGCAAGAGUCUCCACUAUGUAUAAUUAUUAAGCGCACUAAAAUAAAAUGACCACUGUCACUUAUCUAACUAAGUCAGCAAGAGAUAAGGCUUAUCCUUAUCUUCCAGCUGGCAUUGUAUAAUAAACUUGUUUAAAUUCUGUAAGAUAUGAUUGUUGAUCAUAGACCUCUAUAAAAAGAGGGGUUCAUCUCAAUUGUAAGAGAGAGUAUCGAACGUUGUAAUAUAUUCAUUCUUUCCUAUUUCACAAAAUGUUAUAAAUCUUUUUUCUUUCUUUGAAA